AUAUAUAUAUAUAUACACACAUAUAUAUGUGUGUGUGUAUACGUGAAGAAAUUACGGCAAAUCCGAAUAGCGUUGAAUAUAAUUACGAUCAUCACGUUGUAUGUUUCGCUCUGUCGAUAUGAAACACACUUCACAAUCAACUAUCAAAACAAUGUAAUUUAAUCCAUGAACGUGGCAGAUGUGUAAAAAUAGUUUGAUUUUUGUGUUUCCGACGCA